GCAAGUCGAACGGAAACAUGUCUAGCUUGCUAGAUGAUGUCGAGUGGCGGACGGGUGAGUUAUACUUAGGAACAUGCCUUUGGGUGGGGGAUAACUAUUGGAAACGAUAGCUAAUACCGCAUAACGUCUACGGACCAAAGGGGGGAGCUCGCUCCUCUCGCCCAAAGAGUGGCCUAAGCGAGAUUAGCUUGUUGGUGAGGUAAAGGCUCACCAAGGCGACGAUCUCUAGCUGGUCUGAGAGGAAGAGC
rnacentral:rRNA from 1 species